rnacentral:misc_RNA from 1 species
AACCAUAGAAACCUGCGGAGUACCUGCGGAGGGAUCAUUAUAGUAUAUGGAAUCUCCAUUCUAUAAACCCACUCUGCGUAUCUUGUAACUGUUGCUUCCAUGGGACUUGGUUCCGCCACACCGGCUUCACGGCUGGUGAGCGCCCAUGGAAGGAGAAACAAAACUCUUCUUUGAAAUGUAGUCAGUCUGGACAAGUUUUUAUAAACGUUAAAACUUUUAACAAUGGAUCUCAGAUCGGAA